rnacentral:lncRNA from 1 species
CGCACUCAACAACCAUAUAUAUGCAGUUGACAUCAGCCAGCCUCUAUCGAAGGCUGGGUGCAUAAGCAGAGUAAGCAUGCUGGCGUGGAGAAAGUGCGUGUAUGGGCCCAAUAGCAUGGGCUCACACUCAUCAACACUCAUCUGGAUAUUGCUGAUGCUGAGUGUUCAACCUGCCAGUUACAAGACCAACUCUGAGUCUCAGCUGCGUCUCCAUUCCUUGAGAAGAACAACCGGCCACUUCACGAGACACAGUCCAAGUUCCCGCAUCGCCUUCAGUCCUGCCUCUCCAGCCUCCUCUGCUCUGUGACAGUGGCUCAGUCUCUCCUCGUCUCCCAUGACCGUGACAGUCUUGAGCAGUGCUGGCCACGGAUUUUGUAGACUGGUCCUCAGUCUGGAUUUGGUGAUGAUUUCCUCGUGACCAAACUGGGGUUAUGGGUUUUGGGGAAGAGGACAGAGGCGGAGUGCCCCUCUCGUCACAUCACAUUAGGCGCACGUGACAUUCACAUAAUGUGUCACCAGUGAUGCUAACAACGUUGACUGCUUGGUGAAGGUGGUGUUUGCCAGGUGUCUCCAUGCACAGAGUCUGCACAGAGCGGGAACUCAGCGCCCGGCACUGGAGGAGUGGAUUAGAAGGCAGGCCGCUCUCCACAUUGACCUGCAGAGUGACCUCUCUGACCCCUAGGAUCCAACCUUACCACAGCAGGCAGAAAGCCUUUUACUGGCUCCCAGUGUCCCGGAUGAAGCCCACACGCCGUAAAUGAUGAUGAAGAUGAAGGUGGUAGCUACCACAUACCUCUCUCACAACCCCCACAACAGUCCUGCAAGGCAGGCGAGGAUCACUGUCCUCAUUUGUCAAAUGAAAAUCUGAUGGCUCAGAGAGGUUCAGUGACUCACCCGAGGUUACUCAGCCAGCGAGCUGCAGACACAGGCACCAAGCCCAGGGCUGUGGGCUGAUUGUUUGAUGGGCAUUCGAGGCCUGUCAGCCUCCCUCGCCAGAGAAGUUGCCAGGCUCAUCCAGGUGCCCAGGCAUCAGCCUCGUCUGACUCAGCAAGGAGCAAGUCGGAGGCGGCUGCUUGCCCGUCAGACUGCUGUUUUCUGCCUGAGAAGCAUCACUUGCUGUAGCCUCUUUCUCUUCUGCUCCCCAAGGAUCAUUCCGCAUCUGGGGGGAGUCAUU